rnacentral:rRNA from 1 species
AUUGAACGCUGGCGGCAUGCCUUACACAUGCAAGUCGAACGGCAGCACGGGAGCAAUCCUGGUGGCGAGUGGCGAACGGGUGAGUAAUAUAUCGGAACGUGCCCAGUCGUGGGGAUAACGUAGCGAAAGCUACGCUAAUACCGCAUACGAUCUAUGGAUGAAAGCGGGGGAUCGCAAGACCUCGCGCGAUUGGAGCGGCCGAUAUCAGAUUAGGUAGUUGGUGAGGUAAAGGCUCACCAAGCCGACGAUCUGUAGCUGGUCUGAGAGGACGACCAGCCACACUGGGACUGAGACACGGCCCAGACUCCUACGGGAGGCAGCAGUGGGGAAUUUUGGACAAUGGGCGCAAGCCUGAUCCAGCAAUGCCGCGUGCAGGAUGAAGGCCUUCGGUUGUAACUGCUUUGUACGGAACGAACGGUAGAGCUCUAAUACAGUUUGCUAAUGACGGUACCGUAAGAAUAAG